GAUUAACGCUGGCGGCGUGCAUAACACAUGCAAGUCGAACGAAGUGGCGGACGGGUGAGUAACGCGUGAGUAACCUGCCUUAGAGAAGGGGAUAGCCUUUGGAAACGAAGAAUAAUACCCUAUGCUCUAAGAUGGACUUGCGUCUGAUUAGUUAGUUGGUGGGGUAACGGCCUACCAAGACAGCGCUCAGUAGCCGGGUGGAGAGAGUGUACGGCCACAUUGGGACUGAGAAACGGCCCAGACUCUACGGGAGGCAGCAGUGGGGAAGUUGGCACAAUGGGGGAAAGCCGGAUGCAGCGACGCCGCGUGAUUUAGAAGGCCUUCGGGUUGGAAAAAUCUUUUCUAUGGGAAGCAGUACCAUAGGAAGAAGGACCGGCGAAUUACGUGCCAGCAGCCGCGGUAAUAC
rnacentral:rRNA from 1 species